rnacentral:lncRNA from 1 species
UGAAAUUUAUAUCAAAUAUAUUUGAGAAGACAGAAAGCACUGAAUCAUUACUUAUAAGUUAGCAUGAUUAAGUGGUUAUGUAAACAUCACAGCCAAGAAAAUGACAAAAGGUUUUACACUUGGUAACUUGACUGUCAUUGUCAGAAUGAAGCAGACUAAUUUUAAAAGUAAAGUUUAUGAAAUUGUUGUUUAUAAAUUGUAAACGCUCAGUGGCAAAUAUUUCAUGCAUAUCCUAUGUGUGAACACAAUGAUAUGUCAGUGAUAUUGUUGGCUUUUUUCAAAACUACCUCUACCCUUUUUUAUUGGGAAAAUAUGCGUCAUUUUCAUCAAAUUGGGAAAUUUAAAAUAAACCAAGAAUAUGACUGAAACUUCAAUUUACAGACCCAUUUUCAAGAGUCAAACCCUGUUUUAAAAUAAGACCCCGUGAUGAUACAUAAAUAGACCCUCAAAUGUGCACAUAUAGUCACUUUAGGCAAGAAAAUUGUUUAAAUGAGUGUUUUUCAGUUUGAAUUCAUGCACAAUUACUACUGAGACUGCACUGUUUGGUAAAAAAGUUGUCUUUUUGGGAAUAAUUUUAAGCCAUUUUUUUUUCAAAAUUGGGAUUCUUCUCCAGGGGAAAAAGCCUUUAUUCUCCACUAAUUUAAGGCAAACAAUAUCACUGUAUGUAUAUAAUUACAUUAAAGGCAAACUAUAAUGAUUUGACAGGCACUAUUUUUCUUUGAAAUUGAUCACAAUGAAGUUACUUAAUACACCUAAACACUAUUUAUUCCAUUCCGGAUAAGUUCUUAAAUUACACAACUUUUUCAUCCAAUGGAAGCUAUCUUGGACCCUAAAUAAACAAUUCACCAUGCAUGAUACUUUUUGAUGAAACCUGUUUUAUAAACUACCCUAAAUACUUCAAACAAAAUAUUUUUUUACUUCAAUUUUAAUUACGAAAAAGAUGAAAUACUCUAUCAAUUAAGUUUCUUGAUGAUCGAUUUCUAAAGUUUUUCCUCCUACAGCUCACUACUGAUGACCUCUAUUUUCGGCAGCCUGACCCAAACAGGAAGUUGUAUUAAUGACUGUUUUUCCUGGAUUGGACUAAAUAGCGAUAGGUGUAUUGUUUCCUGACAGUGAUUGUUUUCUAUAUAUUUAUUUUUUUAUUCCGUGAGAUAUAUCUACAUACAUUUAAUAUGCAAGGAAAACAAUUUUCCACUAGCAAAAAGUUAAUAUGUAUAACAUGUAUAAUGUUUUUAUUUUUUUCAAAAUAAUUAUUUUUAUGUAAUUAAACAACUUUCAAAGUGUCAAAGACAUACAUGUCAAGUGACAUGAUAUUCGCGUGUAAUACACGCUUUUUCGACGGUUUACACGCGAGGAUUUUGUCACAUGGCGUGUACACGCUUUUCACCACAUUACACGCAAUUACACGCUUUUUCGUUCUUUUCAUUUUUUGGUCUUUAGUGAUAUCGCUAUUCUCGGUUUUUUUCCUUAUUCGGCGAUAAAUACCGAAAAAAUCGAAGAAAUUGUUUGGCUGCCGUAUUGUUUAUUUUUCUGUAUGGACAAACAGUAAAAGGUAAGUAGUUUGUGAUUAGUUUUAACGAUUUUGUGACUUUCUUUCAAAUUCACUUAAUAGGGGAAAUGUGCACAGAACGAGGUCAAUUGCAGGGCCUGCACCGUCGUCUAAAGUGCCGAUUGGUAAGCCAAAACGAUGUGUACGGCAAGAUUCAAGAUUUAUAAAUUAUAUUUUGGAGUUCAAGUUUAAAUGAUCGAGUGACAAGUAACGCAUAAUUUGUGCAUUCUAUGUUGCAAUGAUAAAAAAACAAUACAUGUGAGAGGAGAAAUGCAAUGUAGCUAUUUGAAUAAGCAUUUAACAUGUUUAUCUAAUGGAAAUCAAAUUUAUAGAACAUUUUUCUUUUUCAAUUUCAGUUUCAACUCUAGCCAACACGGCAACAGAUUUCUACAGGCUAUGGAGAUAAAAAUAUCACAGAACUGUUGGAUCAGCUCUCAUAGUACCAGCUUUCUUCUGAUUAACUACCCAGUUUUAACCAGGCAAUAGCAAUGGGAGCAAUGGUAGAGAUGACAUUUUACAUUGCCAAAAAAAAACAUAAUUUAUGACAUUCUUUCAAAUCUUGAUGAAGCUAAUUCAGUCAAAUAUCAAUUCCUACUGUGGGAGAGCCUUUUCAAUUAUAAAGAAAUUGACACUGAAUUCUGAUCAGAACUUGACUAUGUUACAUUUGUAUUGUGUGCUGUUAUCAAAUAAAUGUAACUAAACUUGAAACUGGCAGUUGUUUUGAAUAUGUGCCUAGUGGUGGUGCUUUAAAAGCAACAUAACAGACCACUGUUUAAUACAAUAAAAGUUCACAGUAGAAUAUAUAUUGUUUUUUUUAUAUUCACAAAUUUGUAUGAAAUUAUGAACAUUACCACAUUCAUAUUAACAAGUCCGCAUCUAUGUCACGCGUUUUCACACGCUUUUUGACAUGUCAUGUCAUGUCAUGACAUGAUUUCCCAUUGUCAGAGGUUGACAUGUAUGGUCAAAGAAUCUAAAUUUUGGCCUACCAAAAUAACAAGAAUUUCAGUUUGAAAAUCCAAACUUUUCUUAGAAAUAAAAUAUUAUGCAUUUGUGGCUGAUUUUGACAGACAGUAUAAACACAAAUGUUUUCUUUUGUAAAUUUUCUGACAUCACAUUAUUGAAUAAAAUCAGAUUAAAACAAGCAAACUCAAUUACACUUUAUUUCUCAGCUGUGCAUAUAAGAUAUUUUUUUAUUCAUUUCCUACAAUAUUUUCAGCUGGACAUUUAAAAAAUUAUAUUAACUUUGAAAAGAUGUUGCAACAAUGGUUAAAGUAUUUUGAAUUUCAGCUGGAUGAAAGAAAGAUAACUCCAUUCUAAAAAAUGCAAGCAAAGUGGGAUGUGCUAUUUUUGUAAGUUUAUUUUCAAAUGUCCCAAAGAUUGUUUACAGUAGAAUUCCAAAAAAAGCCAAAUCUGGAAAAUUGUUUGACAAGCUAAUUUAACAAAAUAUCACUGCAUAUUCAUUUGAGAAUAUAAUCUUUAAAAGGGCUAUGUUGGCUAUUUAAUACUGUUACUUCACACUAUUCUGUUAGAAGGAAAUGAAACAGCAAGUUAACCAAUAGAAAUAUUGAAAUAGAUUGAAGCACCCAUAAUCUAGCCCUGUGUAAUUAGUUAUUGGUACUGGACUACAGCUUAGUUUUUGUAUAUAUGGGUAUUUGCUAUUCUGUUCUUAUCAUGCAGUAUUUGAAACAAAAGCAAAUAAUUGUCAAAUGUUCAAAUUAUGGUUAGAUUGUAGCCAAAUAAUCUGUUUUGGUUGUUAACUUAGCAUGUUUAUGCUUUAAACUGUUAACAUUUAGAUGAAUAUGCCAGUUUUGUAUAAGGCAAAGCUCAUGAUCAUUUCAUUAUUUACCUUGAGAAGUAGCUCAUGAAAUGUUUGUGUGUAGACAUCAGAGUAUGAUAUGUAAAAUAUUAUUAAAGAUUACCAUCUGGAUUUCAAACAUUGAUCAUACCUGACAUAAAAAAUCCUUUACAAGCUGUGAAAUUUAAAUCUCUAACAAUUGUACCUAAUUUGCAAUAGACAAACAAUUACAAUGGCAACAACACCCACAGAUAACAUUCUGGACAGACACAUUAAUAUAUUAUAAUAUUUAACUUUAACUAGUUUUGUGUUGUACAUAAUUAAUAUUUUAACAGGAAAUACCAAAAAUAUUGGACAUUACAACAGUCGGCACCAACCACCAAUACAAGACUCAUAAAAUAGAUGUCAAUAAUACAACAGACACAAAGAACAAGAACCAGAAAUAGUCCAG